rnacentral:rRNA from 1 species
UACGUAGGGGGCUAGCGUUGUCCGGAAUCAUUGGGCGUAAAGCGCGUGUAGGCGGUUCGGUAAGUCCGCUGUGAAAGUCGGGGGCUCAACCCUCGGAUGCCGGUGGAUACUGUCGAGCUUGAGUACGGAAGAGGCGAGUGGAAUUCCCGGUGUAGCGGUGAAAUGCGCAGAUAUCGGGAAGAACACCCGUGGCGAAGGCGGCUCUCUGGAACGCAACUGACGCUGAGACGCGAAAGCGUGGGGAGCAAACAGG